rnacentral:rRNA from 1 species
AGUGAAUGCUGGCGGUAGGCCUAACACAUGCAAGUCGAACGGCAGCACAGUAAGAGCUUGCUCUUACGGGUGGCGAGUGGCGGACGGGUGAGGAAUACAUCGGAAUCUACUUUUUCGUGGGGGAUAACGUAGGGAAACUUACGCUAAUACCGCAUACGACCUACGGGUGAAAGCAGGGGAUCUUCGGACCUUGCGCGAUUGAAUGAGCCGAUGUCGGAUUAGCUAGUUGGCGGGGUAAAGGCCCACCGAGGCGACGAUCCGUAGCUGGUCUGAGAGGAUGAUCAGCCACACUGGAACUGAGACACGGUCCAGACUCCUACGGGAGGCAGCAGUGGGGAAUAUUGGACAAUGGGCGCAAGCCUGAUCCAGCCAUACCGCGUGGGUGAAGAAGGCCUUCGGGUUGUAAAGCCCUUUUGUUGGGAAAGAAAAGCAGCAGGUUAAUACCCCGCUGUUCUGACGGUACCCAAAGAAUAAGCACCGGCUAACUUCGUG